AGAGGCCCUCUGUGGCCCAGGUGGAACACUUGCCUUGUCGCCGUGGUGACAAAGCAAACAUUCCGCCAGGCCGCUCAUGCUGCCCGC
rfam:Myotis lucifugus cont2.10906, whole genome shotgun sequence.